GUAGCUUAGUUGGAAAAGCACUUGUCUAGCGAAUAAGGGUCGUGAGUUCAAAUCUCACC
rnacentral:tRNA from 1 species